rnacentral:lncRNA from 1 species
GGAGGCGUGCAAGGUACCAGCCCCAGAUCAGAAAAACAUUAUCGCAGCUGCGAUAAAGAAUGGAGCCAGAUCCCAAACUACAGGACACUUGGCAGCCUCCAUUGAAACCGGGAGAGUGAAGCAGAGGACUGGGUCCACGGUGUUUGCGGUUGUUUUUAUAGGCAAAGGAGGAAUCUGGACCAAUACUUUCAGCAAAUGCAUCAUGCUGUCAUCCAGAUGUGCUCCUCUUCGUAAUGUCUCCCUGCCUCCCAGAUGUCACUCUGGGCUGGUCCUUGAAUGCAUCUCACUCCAAUUCAGAUCAGUAAGAUGGUCGGUGCCGCUCUGGUGUGAGCUACCUUUCCCCGCUUUGUUCCUGGAGAGCACGUGA